CCUCACUGUACUUAGAAGGAUUAAGACAUUUGGCUCAAUUUCAAGUGAAAUUCCUGAGCAGGAGGCUUAGUCCUAUUCCCAAUGGCAGACUCAUCCAUCAUUACAGUCGUGGUACUUCCUGCACUGAGCAUCAAGAGCUGAGGAGAUACCUGAUGGAUGUUUAUAAUAUCAUGGGAGGCAGAGAUAAGAGCCACACACAUGCUCCCCAGGAAUGACGUGGAGACAGACAGGGAGAUCAGCUGCCAGCUUUCGCCACUGCCUUCGCAGGAAGGUGCAAAGCAGUAACCCUGAAAAGGACUUAAUUAGUCCGGGAAAGUAGGAAGCUCUCAUGAUUGUAACAGCAGCUGCAACCAGUAAAUGACGACCACUGACGCAUUCGAUGUUACCACACAACUAAAGCCACCUGUUCCUUUCCCUCUUCUCUAUUAAAUAAAACACGAUGCUUCAUUUAAUCAAUAACGGAAACUAAGCAAUAUUAUGGAUGAUUAGAAUUUGCAUUACCUUAAAGGUGAAGUACUUAAACUAAAAAUAUCACUGUUGCUAUAUUUUACUUUAA